CGUCUCACCCGGGUCUCUGCCGGAACUCCACAUUGUCUCUAUCCAAUCCACCACUGAUGGGCAGGCCUAUGUCUCUGCUGUUGUGAAUAGUGCUGCCAUGAACAUGAGUGUCCCUCUCACUGGAAACUUGUUUUCACUGGCAGACACCAUUGUGGCUUUUGUCUGACUACUGUGUCCAGUUCAUUCCUACCAAGAUUGCCACUCUCUAAGGGAGCCUUGUCCAGAAAAAAAAAUUAAUUUCAGGUGUGUCAGUUGUCUUGUACAUUUGAGCCUUAGCCCCACGGGAAACUGAAAAAAAAAAUCGGACGGCUCAGUAAAACCUCUUCCUUCCGUUGUAAAUGUUACUCACAGCAUCUUUUCCCAUGUUUGUUGGUGAUAAAUUCACUGUCAUCUCAGUAAGAGUAUAACAUCAUGCUGAAGAUAUUUCUGUGAAGAGUUUUGUACUGAGAACAUCAUACCAGGACAACUCCUUGAAGGGCAUUAAUUGCAGCUUUGGGAUUU
rnacentral:lncRNA from 1 species